rnacentral:rRNA from 1 species
UACGAAGGGGGCUAGCGUUGUUCGGAAUUAUUGGGCGUAAAGAGCUUGUAGGUGGUUUGUCGCGUCUGCUGUGAAAAUCCGGGGCUCAACCCCGGACUUGCAGUGGGUACGGGCAGACUAGAGUGUGGUAGGGGAGACUGGAAUUCCUGGUGUAGCGGUGAAAUGCGCAGAUAUCAGGAGGAACACCGAUGGCGAAGGCAGGUCUCUGGGCCACUACUGACGCUGAGAAGCGAAAGCAUGGGGAGCGAACAGG